rnacentral:rRNA from 1 species
CACGUAGGGCGCAAGCGUUGUCCGGAUUUAUUGGGCGUAAAGAGCUCGUAGGCGGUUCAGUAAGUCGGGUGUGAAACUUUGGGCUUAACCCAAAGCGUGCAUCCGAUACUGCUGUGACUUGAGUUCGGUAGGGGAGUGGGGAAUUCCUAGUGUAGCGGUGAAAUGCGCAGAUAUUAGGAGGAACACCGGUGGCGAAGGCGCCACUCUGGGCCGAAACUGACGCUGAGGUGCGAAAGCGUGGGGAGCAAACAGGG